rnacentral:lncRNA from 10 species
AGGGCACCUGGAGGAAGCUGAGUAAUGGAGGGAGGGGACAGAAGGAUAUUGAGGGGCAUUCCAUGGAGUAGAAAAGAGGCUCAGCAGGGCUCAGUGGCCCCAGUAUUUUGGGAGGCCAAGGCAGGAGGACUGCUCAAAGCCAGGAGUCCAAGACCAGCCUGGACAACAAGCAAGUCUCUACCAAAAAUUUAAUUAGCUGGAUGUAGUGGUGUGCACCUAUAGUCCUAGCUACUGGGGAGGUUGGGUGGGAGGAUCCCUUGAGUCCAGGCAGUCAAGGCUGCAGUGAGUUAUGAUUGCACCACUGCACUUCAGCCUCAGUGACACAGUGAGACCCUGUCUCAAAAUAAAUAAAUAAAUAAAUAAAAAAGACAGAAAAAGGCUGGUCUUCCCCCAGCUCCUCAAAGCCAUUUGACAAGAACUUG